AACGAACGCUGGCGGCAUGCCUAACACAUGCAAGUCGAACGACACCUUCGGGUCUAGUGGCGCACGGGUGCGUAACGCGUGGGAAUCUGCCCUUGGCUUCGGAAUAACAGUUAGAAAUGGCUGCUAAUACCGGAUGAUGUCUUCGGACCAAAGAUUUAUCGGCCAGGGAUGAGCCCGCGUAGGAUUAGGUAGUUGGUGGGGUAAAGGCCUACCAAGCCGACGAUCCUUAGCUGGUCUGAGAGGAUGAUCAGCCACACUGGGACUGAGACACGGCCCAGACUCCUACGGGAGGCAGCAGUGGGGAAUAUUGGACAAUGGGCGCAAGCCUGAUCCAGCAAUGCCGCGUGAGUGAUGAAGGCCUUCGGGUCGUAAAGCUCUUUUACCAGGGAUGAUAAUGACAGUACCUGGAGAAUAAGCUCCGGCUAACUCCGUGCCAGCCGCCGCCGUAA
rnacentral:rRNA from 1 species